UUAAUACCAUGGUUUCUUUUAAUGAAGAUUCACAAGUAACUUAUUAUAUGAGAUCAUUGAUCAAAGGUAAUAUGUCUGCUAAUUAAGGUAAAGAAGAUUGUGUCCCACCUCUUUUAACAAAACGCGACCAACUUUAUUACCAUGGAGAUACUGAUACGCUUCUGAGCUUUUUAGAUUACUCAUCGCUUUGCCAUCUGAAGCCACCGCGUUAAUGACGUAACUAAAUAUGCUAGUGUAGGUUAUCUGCGGCCACUUUUUCAGAUCGUCCUCCCAUCCCUCGAUAGCUGUAGGUAGCAGUAUAACAGUACUGCCACAUUUGAGCUGUGUCAGCUGAUGUUCCCACAUAUUUUUGCCCCAAAUGCUCGAAAAAGGAAGAUUAGUGCCUAUUGUUAGCAUGAAAACAAAAGCCGGUUCCGGUUGGCGGCGGAAGUCGUACCCAUAAAUCGCGCAAGGCAUCAUGGGGGAUAGGAAUAAGAUGGAUAGAUCAUAACCUGGAAAAAGGCUUUCACAAAUCCCAGACUGGGUUUGAAAGAUUCUGCUAUUAGUGUAGAACAAUCUAGUCCAGGUUUGAAGAGUCUAAAUAUUGUACCUUUGAAGUUGGAGCAGAUUAAAGAUGCUUUAAUUGAUGCAAAUGAGGUGGAACGGCUCUUCAGCUGUUUCCCGAAUCGGAACCUACAAUCGGAAGCCAACUUCAGCCUCUUACUCUGUCCAUUAGCAAAAUGGCGGACUUGAGUCAUUUCUGCCAGGCUCUUCACCAAUGCAUUGAUGGCCAAAUUUGAAUAUGAAGAGGAAAGAAGGCAAGAGAUCUUUGGAGAAGUUUUAAUGAGCAAUAAAAGCUUCAACCAGCCCACGUGUGAUUUUGCAGUUCGUGUAGAAAAAUCAGGUAUUCUGUGGUGCCCAAGUUGAACCAGAGUUCGUGCCCUGGAAACUCUGUUCGUUGAUGGAUACAUGCGUUACCGGUUCAAAAUCAUUUUCAGGAACCAGAACAGGCUUCAAACUGCCUUCGUGGGAGGAAGUAACAAAGAAAAAAUUACAAAACAGCUUCCCAGCUAACGACAGCACCUCUGUGUGGAGGAGUUUGCAGACUAUUACUAACUAUGGGAGUCGUACCCCCAUGCUGUAAUGACACCCCACCUGGCAGAGGAUCUGAACCAUGUCUUUUGUAGGUUUGAUUAUCAGCCUUUCAUACCUCACCUUCACACAAAGGGUCGACCAGCAUUUCCCACUAAUCAGAAUGAGAAUCAGCUUUAUUGCCAAGUUCGUACAUACA